GAGUUUGAUUAUGGCUCAGGAUGAACGCUGGCGGCGUGCUUAACACAUGCAAGUCGAACGAGAAAUGAUAUUACGAUCUCUUCGGAGUGACGAUUUUAUUUCGAGUGGCGGACGGGUGAGUAACGCGUGAGCAACCUGCCCUAUACCGGGGGAUACCAGUUGGAAACGACUGUUAAUACCGCAUAAGCGCACGAUAAGACAUCUUGUUGUGUGAAAAACUCCGGUGGUAUAGGAUGGGCUCGCGUAUGAUUAGCCAGUUGGCGGGGUAAAGGCCCACCAAAGCGACGAUCAUUAGCCGACCUGAGAGGGCGACCGGCCACAUUGGGACUGAGACACGGCCCAAACUCCUACGGGAGGCAGCAGUGGGGAAUAUUGCACAAUGGGCGAAAGCCUGAUGCAGCGACGCCGCGUGAGUGAGGAAGUAUUUCGGUAUGUAAAGCUCUAUCAGCAGGGAAGAAAGAAAUGACG
rnacentral:rRNA from 1 species